AUCUGGAGAAAGACACCAUCUGAUAUGGAAUACUACAGCUUUUCUUGCAAUGAACCACCACUUAAUAAACUCUAAAUUCUCGACAGAGUGAUGAUAUACAGCAGCCCACGCUGUCAUCCUGGACUCCUUCACUGCACAUCUGCAAUCCAGACUGCCAGUUUCAGAAAACUGGAUUUACUGCUUGGGCAGGAUCCAGUGGUGACUGCCUAUUGCCCUGGAGCAGAUCUGGUCUAUAGUUGCUGACCAGAGCAGACAGUAACAGUCAAAGUAACAGUUAAAGUAACUGUCCCUUCAGCUGCUAACAUUUCCCUGGU